rnacentral:rRNA from 1 species
GAUGAACGCUAGCGGGAGGCUUAACACAUGCAAGUCGAGGGGUAAGAGGGUAGCAAUACGCUCUGAGACCGGCGCACGGGUGAGUAACGCGUAUGCAACCUGCCCUUUACAGGGGGAUAGCCCGGAGAAAUCCGGAUUAAUACCCCAUAGUUCUGUUAGAUCGCAUGGUUUGGCAGAUAAAGCUGAGGCGGUAAAGGAUGGGCAUGCGUGACAUUAGCUUGUUGGCGGGUAACGCCCACCAAGGCUACGAUGUCUAGGGGUUCUGAGAGGAAGGUCCCCCACACUGGUACUGAGACACGGACCAGACUCCUACGGGUGGCUG